CAGUAGCCGCGGGAAUACGGAGGGCGCGAGCGUUACCCGGAUUUACUGGGCGUAAAGGGCGUGUAGGCGGCCUGGGGCGUCCCAUGUGAAAGGCCACGGCUCAACCGUGGAGGAGCGUGGGAUACGCUCAGGCUAGAGGGUGGGAGAGGGUGGUGGAAUUCCCGGAGUAGCGGUGAAAUGCGCAGAUACCGGGAGGAACGCCGAUGGCGAAGGCAGCCACCUGGUCCACUUCUGACGCUGAGGCGCGAAAGCGAGGGGAGCAAACCGGAUUAGAUACCCCCGUAGUCCCUGUCUCUUAUAC
rnacentral:rRNA from 1 species